GUCCGCUUGGUAGAUGAAACCAUGUUCGGGAGCCCACACAUCUACUGAGAGGCGUUCUGAAGGAUUUCUUCCAUUAAAACGAUGCUCCGGCUAAACGCGCAGCAACGAUCUGUUUCCAAAUCGGACAAGUCUCCCAUUUUCCAAUCUUUCACACUGACUGUCACUCAACACAAUCACUAAUGCACUUACAUGAGCACUACAGAGUGUAACAAAUGCAAGAAGAUCAUUUAGUGUUGCCAGCUGAAGUUCCUGCAAUGUAAAUCACUCCUACAUUCACAGCCCCGCUCCGGAAUGGAACACAGCAUCAACUGUAGACAUACGUGAUCCCGGAACCCUGGAGCCAGUCCGCCGCUGCGUUCCACCUAGCACAUGGACAAACUUCAUAGCUGCAGAUGUUUCGCCGGGCUGAAAUGACGUCAGCGAAACAUUCGUCGAGUAUUUUAAAUACACGCAAUAUACUACGUAUAUAUGUCACUGCUUGUAGUCGCUGACGAAUUUUCAGUUUAAUGUAGCAUCAUGUUUCGUCCUAACUCGCCAUCUUCAGGUGUAUCAGAUGUUGGAUUGAAGGAACCUGCUGCUCUGUUGUUACGCUGUUUUGCAUUUCAUUUUUGUAAAUAUUUCAGAAUGUUCUGGCUUAUAUUAGGUUAUAAUGCCGUUGCCUAGCACGUGUCUGGUUUAUCUGUAAUAUGUAAUGUUUUUUUCUUUUCUUCCUCCCACUUUGAAGCAUAGGUUGCUUUGUUUAUUUCUUGAUCAUUCUGCAGACA